rnacentral:rRNA from 1 species
UACGAAGGGGGCUAGCGUUGCUCGGAAUCACUGGGCGUAAAGGGUGCGUAGGCGGGUCUUUAAGUCAGGGGUGAAAUCCCGAGGCUCAACCUCGGAACUGCCUUUGAUACUGGAAAUCUUGAGUCUGGGAGAGGUGAGUGGAACUGCGAGUGUAGAGGUGAAAUUCGUAGAUAUUCGCAAGAACACCGGUGGCGAAGGCGGCUCACUGGCCCGGAACUGACGCUGAGGCACGAAAGCGUGGGGAGCAAACAGG